UUUUUUCUUUUGUGGGUGGGGGGAAUAAACCUCUGUGCUUCUCUUUUUGUAUGCAUUUCAGACGUUGAAGCACGAGAACAAGAUAGCUACAUAUAAGCACUCUAAAGUUUAGGAAUAAACACUAUCAAUUUAUCUUUUGAUUGUUUUUCAUUUAACCAUGAUAUUACGAAUUUAUUUCUUCGCAUUCAGCAACUCCUUUCAGCAGUUUCAUGUUCGAAGUGAAGCUGGGUAAAAGUCAGGAAGAACCGCUGGUAAAGGAGUAAGUUUUAUCUAGCAGCUAUCCCACUGUAGGUUCAUUGUGAUAAGUUUAAAUCAGAACAAUAUAUUAACUGAAAUAUCUUGAGUUUUACAUCAUGAAAGC
rnacentral:lncRNA from 1 species